rnacentral:rRNA from 1 species
GACGGAGGAUGCAAGUGUUAUCCGGAAUCACUGGGCGUAAAGCGUCUGUAGGUGGUUCGAAAAGUCCACUGUUAAAAAUUGAGGCUUAACUUCAAAGAUGCCGUGGAAACUUUCAAACUAGAGUAUGGUAGGGGAGACUGGAAUUCCUGGUGUAGCGGUGAAAUGCGCAGAUAUCAGGAGGAACACCGGUGGCGAAGGCGGGUCUCUGGGCCGAUACUGACGCUGAGGAGCGAAAGCGUGGGGAGCGAACAGG